ensembl:lncRNA
CCCUGAGCUCUGAGUCAGCCCCUGGGCAGGACGCAGCCAGCAGCAGCACCCAAUGGGGCCCUGCAGCUCAGCAGGACACCCCCAGCCCCUCUUUCUGGCACUGGGGGAUUGCAGUGAGACAAGUGAGAGAAGCCGGAGCCUGCUCACAGAGGGCUGCUCCCAUCACCAGCUGCAGCUGGGGGAUACGGCUGGGAACGUGAUGGGCUGCCCAUGCACGGGCAUGCAAGGUGGAACAGUGGCCUCAUGCAGCCCUUUGGACCCUAUUUCACAUAUAUGUGCCCAAUUUGGUGGCCGUGGUCUCAUUCCAGGUCCUCAGAGUCCCCACUCAGGGGUGGCACUCAGGGAAGGCGCUCCCCUCGAUGGAGGUCUCGGAUGCAUCCCCACUUCUCAGCCUGACCAUCCCCGUCUUCCCACCACGUGAAAAACGGAGCGGUGUCACAUCUGAGGUGAUGCAGACAGGAGGGAUUUGUGUUUCGUCUGCCGUUGUUUGCUGUUCCCAGCGAUUUGUCAUGCUCUGCUGACAACUCAUUGGGGACCCGUGACACAGUGUGCCACCUAUUAGCAUGAGGACAAAUCCUGACUGAGAAAGCGUCCCUCCUCCACCUCGGAGACCUUUCCUCCCUUGGUCGCCCUGCUGGACACCAGCUGCUCCCUCCUAGCUGACAAGGGACAGCCAAACCAAGGGGACACAAACCGUAUGGGCAGACCCAGAGCACGAUGUGGAGAUGCCCCGAGUCCAUACCGAACAUUUUCUCCCUGCACAGAGCCACCCCAGCCCUGGUCCCACCCAGCCCAAUGCCAGCAUGCUCUGGGUAGAAACCAGAAGGGGACACCCCCAGCUCCCCGUGGUCCCCAGCCCUGCCCUCUCCUCACCAUCGCCUGUGCUUCCAGCAGAGAAAAAUGCUUAUUCUCCUUAAUGGGCUAUUGCAGCCCAGACAGGCGUUGCACACACAAACACACACACACACACACAGUCUCUGCACUACCCAUACCAAAUCCCUGCCCAAACCAUUGGGGACCAUUCUGUUUCUCCACACCGUGUCACCCCCCCCCAGGACCCCACCUCUGUCCCUUUGCUUUCAGCAGCCAAGCAUGGAUGAAACAACAGCAGGGAUCAAACGACACCGAAAUCAAGGCUAUUCCUACCUGGCAGUCAUUGAUUUCCUUCCCCCUUGCUGACAUCACCGCUCCCUUCAGGUUAAUACAUGCACCACUUCCCUUAUCUCUGCUCGGGAUUACCUCAUCGCAGCAAACCCAGCGCUCUCACUCCUGCUCUGCCGAAUGCCAGCACUGUGUUUGAACUGCAACUUCCCAACUGGAGGAAGGAUUUCUCCAGUGCUGUUCCAUCAGAGCUCUGAUCUCCCCCUCACACACUGACACACGGCUCUUUUUCCUUACAGAUCAGCUCUUUGCACUCCAGUGCAUGCUCCUGCUCCACGCAGGACGGAUCGCUCCCUUUGCUUGCAAGCAGGAGCUCCUUGCACGGAUUUCACGCACGCUGCAAACUGCGAAAGUGCUGUGCACACACACACAUACACAAAACUUAGCAUGCAUGCACACCAACAUGUGCAGGAGCACUCACACAACUGCACGCCUCGCUGCUGAAAUGCAACACUUCAAGGGCCCCUCAGCUCCUUUAGCUGUAUGCUAACGCGCUGCAUGCAAACCGUGCCAGUAUAAGCAAGGUGAACGCACACAUAUGCAUGUCACCUUCACAAACGUUCGUAUCCUAAUGAAUUCUGACCAGCUGCUGAUCGUUCUGCCUUAAACAAAGAGAGCUGACAUGCUUUUUAUUUCGGCUGAUCACACCUCAUCCCCAAGAACAGCACCACUGCAAGCCAGUGCCGUCUAUUGGCUACGGCAUAAAUAUUUACAUCCCUCUGCACACACACACACACACACACACACACAGACAGACACAUUUCCAACACACACACCGCAAGCAGAAGGUGAAGCUCUUUGCAGCGCUGCUGUGCGGCCGCAGGAGGCGGUGCAGGACUUUCCGCUGGAGGUGAUUACGGAGAGGAACUUAACGCGGCCGGGCGGAGGGGGAGAGCGUUUUGCCGGCGGAGCGGAGCAGGAACAAAAGCCACGGGAGCGGUGCUGAAUAGGUGUCCUCCUAAUUGUCGGGAAUCGUGUGGCUGUGUGUGGCGCGGGCGGGAGGGGCGGUGGGCAGCGGCC